rnacentral:rRNA from 1 species
CAGGGAGAACUGUGGCUAGCCAUCCCCGCGCCCCGGCCGAAACCGAGACGCCAAGGAUGACCGCGCAACCGAUGGUGGUGUUUUGUAUUCAACGUCUCCUAAUCGCUGGUCGGCAUCGUUUAUGGUUAAGACUACGACGGUAUCUGAUCGUCUUCGAUCCCCUAACUUUCGUUCUUGAUUAAUGAAAACAUCCUUGGCAGAUGCUUUCGCAGAAGUUAAUCUUUCAUAAAUCCAAGAAUUUCACCUCUGACAAUUAAAUAUUAAUGCCCCCAACUAUCCCC